rnacentral:rRNA from 1 species
AAUAUUGGACAAUGGGGGCAACCCUGAUCCAGCCAUGCCGUGUGUGUGAAGAAGGUCUUCGGAUUGUAAAGCACUUUAAGUGGGGAGGAAGGGCUUUAGGUUAAUACCCUGAAGCUUUUACGUUACCAACAGACUAAGCACCGGCUUACUCUGUGCCAGCAGCCGCGGUAAUACAGAGGGUGCAAGCGUUAAUCGGAAUUACUGGGCGUAAAGCGCGCGUAGGUGGUUCAGUAAGAUGGGUGUGAAAUCCCCGGGCUUAACCUGGGAAAUUCUUUCAUAACUGCUGAGCUAGAGUACGGUAGAGGGUAGUGGAAUUUCCUGUGUAGCGGUGAAAUGCGUAGAUAUAGGAAGGAACACCAGUGGCGAAGGCGACUACCUGGACUGAUACUGACACUGAAGUGCGAAAGCGUGGGGAGCAAAC